AAAGGACGUGCGAACCCGCGAGGGGAGCGAAUCCCAAAAAGCCGCUCUCAGUUCGGAUUGCAGGCUGCAACUCGCCUGCAUGAAGCCGGAAUCGCUAGUAAUCGCGGAUCAGCAUGCCGCGGUGAAUACGUUCCCGGGCCUU
rnacentral:rRNA from 1 species